UAUACUCACGAUAUAACCUGGUGGAGACCAUUUAAACUCGAAUAUAAACUGGUGGAGACCAUUAAAACUCUGGAAUUUUUUUGAUUAUGAUGAUUCAAUGAUAUAACUUUUUUAUUUUUGUGGGAUAACCUGGCAGUUUGUGAGUUUAAUAACUCCGCCAACACACUUCAAAGUUAAAAAAAAAAAAUGGCAAAUAAACAAAAUUUAAUUAAUUAUACCGAAGAAUUAAUAGAUGUGAUUGAUAUGCAAGAUUCUUGCAUUAUCAAUUCAGUGGAAGUGGACAGUGAAAAUUUUAAUGAUGAAAUUGAUCUUCAACAAUUUCUUCAAACCAUAAGAAAGCUGCCAAUGUCACAUACAGGAGUUUGCCGUAUAUAACAAACGCGGACCUAACAGAAGCUAUUCCACAUUUGGGGCUACGUGCGGAAUUCCGUAGCAAACUAGUUACAUGGAGAAAAACUGAGGAGUUGACAAUGAGCCCUCAAAGGUCCAGUUAUGGAUUGACAACAAUGUUGACAUGUCCCCAAGCAGUUCAUUAAUUAACAACAAAAAAGGAUUUGAAGACAUUGAUAAAUUCAUCACCAAAAGGUAGAGAUAUUCUAAAAUACGCAACUGAAUCCCAAAAAUUAACAUGUCAGCAAAGGGAAGACAUAGUUAAUAUCAUUAUAGAAGAUGUCAUCUAUAAAAACACUGUGCUUUAUCCAAAUGACUUUCAAAAGCUAACCGCGGAAACUUGCUCCCUGUUUCCCUCUGAAAAUAAUAUGAAGGUAAGAAAGAAAACAUAUAGUCUAUAGACUAGCAUUGUAGUAUAGUCUAUAGUCCAGUCUAGUCUAUAAUAUAGUCUAGUCCUGUCUAUAGUCUAGUCCAAUCUAUAGUCUAGUCCAGUCUAUAGUCUAGUCUAUAGUUUUUUACUGAAACAUGAAGAUUUUUUAGAAACUUUGUAUAGUAUAAAUUCAUCUAGUUUUAUUGACUUAUCCAAAGAGGACUAUUUCCAAAAUAUUUGUACACCAAACAAAAUUAAUUUUAAGGUUUGUGAAGUUUGUAAUGAAGUUAUUUUUAAGGGAACUCGUUAUAAAGAAAAAUAUUAUUUAACUGCUAAUUUGAAUUGUAUUGAAUUGCACAAAAUUAAGAGUUUUUUAAUU